rnacentral:rRNA from 1 species
GAUCCUGGCUUAGGAUGAACACUAGCGGCAGGCUUAACACAUGCAAGUCGAGGGGCAUCGGGAGUAGCAAUACUUGCCGGCGACCGGCGCAAGGGUGCGUAACGCGUGAGCAACAUGCCCGUAUCAGGGGGAUAAUCCAUGGAAACGUGGUCUAAUACCCCAUAGUAAUUAUGUAAGGCAUCUUAUAUAAUUUAAAGCUUUGGUGGAUACGGAUUGGCUCGCGUGACAUUAGCUAGAUGGUAAGGUAACGGCUUACCAUGGCUACGAUGUCUAGGGGUUCUGAGAGGAAGGUCCCCCACACUGGAACUGAGACACGGUCCAGACUCCUACGGGAGGCAGCAGUGAGGAAUAUUGGACAAUGGAUGGAAAUCUGAUCCAGCCAUGCCGCGUGCAAGGAAGACGGCCCUAUGGGUUGUAAACUGCUUUUGUAUGGGAGCAAUAAGGGCUACGCGUAGUCCGAUGAGAGUACCAUACGAAUAAGCACCGGCUAACUCCGUGCCAGCAGCCGC